UACAGAGGUCUCAAGCGUUGUUCGGAUUCAUUGGGCGUAAAGGGUGCGUAGGUGGCGCCGUAAGUCGGGUGUGAAAUUUCGGAGCUUAACUCCGAAACUGCAUUCGAUACUGCGGUGCUUGAGGACUGGAGAGGAGACUGGAAUUCAUGGUGUAGCAGUGAAAUGCGUAGAGAUCAUGAGGAAGACCAGUGGCGAAGGCGGGUCUCUGGACAGUUCCUGACACUGAGGCAUGAAAGCGUGGGGAGCAAACCGG
rnacentral:rRNA from 1 species